UGCCAAUGAUGUUUAAAAGUAAUAUAUAUUCUCAGAUUUUAAAAAACUGAUGAAAAUCUCUAGAUUGUCACUACCUCUGAGGCA
rnacentral:snoRNA from 1 species